CCCAAGUCCCCAGGGUGAGAGCUCCUGGGUCUGCACUCCUCUUUGUGGAAAGGUGCUGGUGUACUUCUAGGAAGCUGAGGGUCCUCUGCUGCCCUCUGUCCACAUUCCCUGCAGGGGACAAAUUGCCCACUGCGUAGCUCUGAAACACAGAACCUUCCAUCAAAGUGGGUAAGGCCUGGGAGGGGGCAUGCUAUGGAGUAAAUGAAGCAGCUGACACUGACUGGGGGACCCAGGCUGGGAAUGCAGAUGUGAUGGCAGGAGCUGGCGCAGUCAUUUUGGACCAUAUGAUGAGAGUGGCACAUUGAAAAAGGCAGAGCAGCAUGACUGAAGAAAGCUGGACACCUAACACCAUUAAGCCACUGCCUCAUCCAUGGACUGCAUUCUUGGAUGUAAAUGUGUGAGGGAUAUCAAAUUUGAUCCUCCUUAAGUCUCUGUAUUUGGGGGUUUCUUUGCCUCAACAAUGGAACCUAUAUACUCACUGUUGUCUCUCAGUGGAAGGGCCACCUCUGGUCAUGGAUUCAUCUGGUCACUGGAGAGGCUGGAAUGCCACCCUUUGGUAGCCUAUGACUUUGAUAGUGCCCUACAGAUGAUCUCUUCCAGGAUUCACACACUGCUGUGCUCUCCACCCACAGUGACUCUGUUUUGGCCAAUGGGACUUCAGCAAGCACGAUGCAAGCAGUGCCUGGGUAGCACUUUCAACAUGGGGCUUAUCCUCUGGGAACACUGGCUCUUGGGAUGCUCCCAGUCCAAACCCUGCUGCCCAUCUUGAGAAGCCCCACGUAGCCAGAAGGAGAAGCCACAUGGAGGAGGACCGAGGCCCUGCCCUCAGCCCCAGCUGACCUCGCAUCCUCAGCCUGAGUGAAUCCAUCCUGGAAGUGGUCCUCCGGUCUGAGCCGUGCAGCUCCAACCUGCAGACUCAACAUCACAUAACUCCACUGUCCUAAUCCUCUAACUCUUGGGGCAGCUUGUUAUGCAGCUCUAGGUAACUGAAACACGUGGAUGGCCCCAGGCCCUUUGCACUGUCUGAAAAGCUCGAAAUCCACCGUGCUUUACACCAAGAGGUCAGUGUCUUUCAAGAUGGUCUGUCUUCCUCACAUCUGGAAACGACAACACUACACGGGAAGUUGCUGAGUCUCUGGAAAUGCGUAGGAGGGGCUACCCUUCCCUCCAGAACCCCACGCCCCUCCCUCAACUCUGCCAGGGGGUCAGAGCUUGGCUUCAUGCUUGCAUUUGAAGCUCCGGGAAUAGGAUGGGUUCCACAGACCCCCCCCCCAACCCCGCUUUCUUGUAAAUCUGCUGAAGCGCCAUGUCCCUUAGAUGAAGGUUAGAGGGCAGCAUUUGUCAGGCAAGGGGCUGCCUGUGUCCACAGUGAACCCCCUGGUGCCCACCUGAGCAUUGAAGGAGCCAAUGCGUGAAUGAACAAGUGAACGAAUUGUGAACAAAAAGUAACUUAUUAGAUCAGAGCGGGAGGUCAAGGUGAUAGAGGGGCUCCUGGGAAGGGAGGAUCAGUAAAGAGCCCAGGUGUAAUGAAAGAUGGCUUUGGAAGUAUUUUUGACUCUUUCAAAACAUAAUUACAGUAGCUCUCAUUGAGUUCUUACUGUGUGCCAGGCACUGUGCAAAAUGCUUUAUGUUAAAUUAUUGCAUUAAUUAUCUCAGCAAGCCCGAGAGGUAAGUGCUAUAACUUUCAUCCCAUUUUAUAGAUGAGGAAAUGGAGGCCCAGAGAGGUUAGGUAACUUGCCUGACCACCACACUCUGACAAAAAGCCGGAGUCUUGUAUUCCACCCUUGGAGAGAAGAACCAGGACCUGGCAUGCUUUAUGGCACGUUUGCCAAGCUCCAGUCCACCACGUGCUCCUGGGGGCCUCGGAAAGCCCAGGUCAGAAGGGAAGGAGAAGGGAGGGGCCUCAGGGGUCCCUGUGCCAGGCAGCAGGGCCACUAACACUGGGGUCCAGAGGUGGUGCUGCCCACCCUGCCUGAGCACCCUCAGGGACUGCUCCCACUCACUGCUCAGAAAUGAGCCUGGCUCAUUCACACGUGUCCUUAAUGCCAGGUUCCAAGAAAGCCACCUAAAUACCUGGUAUUUGAGAUGUAAAGAGACCGGCUCCCUGUACUUAGCGCUUCGCUUAACUUUUCCAAUUAUAGCGCCCUAUUUUCCAAAGUCUAAAAAGGACAUAUGUUAUAACUGUCUUGGGCCCCAAGGUUUCAGAAACACCCUUAAGUCUCCUGAAAUACAAUCGUAUAUUUUAGACUAAUUC
ensembl:lncRNA